rnacentral:tRNA from 1 species
GGAGAGAUGGCUGAGUGGCCGAAAGCACCGGUUUGCUAAAUCGGCGUACGGCGCAAGCCGUACCGGGGGUUCGAAUCCCCCUCUCUCCG